CGAUUGGAUUUCAUUUCAGUCUAAUGUUUCAGUGAUAACUCUCCAAAUUGCGAAUUCGUGGAGGACGUCGAAGUUCUGACUUCUGGUGCCAACUUUGGCAGUAAAUUAUGAAUGUGUUGGAUCUGCUUGGAAAAUUGUGUCUUUGGUGAGUGAUUACAUAUAUUAUAAACCUAUAUUAUAUUUGCGAAAUCAUAGAUUUCGUUGCUUACUUAAAAAGUCACGUCGUCUCGAAUACAACGUUUACAUAAAAUUUCCAACGUCUACUUGGACAACCGGUUUCAUUUGGGCCCCAGAACUCUUCUCAAUCA